GACAGAGGGUGCAAACGUUGUUCGGAAUUACUGGGCGUAAAGCGUGUGUAGGCGGUCCACUAAGUCGGGUGUGAAAGCCCUGGGCUCAACCCAGGAAGUGCACUCGAACUGGCGGGCUAGAGUAUCGGAGAGGUUGGUGGAAUUCUCGGUGUAGAGGUGAAAUUCGUAGAUAUCGAGAGGAACACCCGGUGGCGAAGGCGGCCAACUGGACGAAUACUGACG
rnacentral:rRNA from 1 species